rnacentral:rRNA from 1 species
UAGGGAAUCUUCCACAAUGGACGAAAGUCUGAUGGAGCAAUGCCGCGUGAGUGAAGAAGGUUUUCGGAUCGUAAAGCUCUGUUGUGAGGGAAGAACAAGUACGAGAGUAACUGCUCGUACCUUGACGGUACCUCAUUAGAAAGCCACGGCUAACUACGUG